GGGUCCAUUAAUUGGGGGUGGAGAGGGCGGGUGGGGGGUAGGGGGGGUCACAUCACAUCUGGACCACCCUGUACAACAGUCUGUGGCUCCCUCACAGGAGAGGCGCAGUGGCAACACAUCUCACGACAAUCCGACGUGGUGGCGAGCAGAGCUCGACGUUGUCAUUUGGCGCCUCAACACAUUGCUGCCAUCAUGCCCGAGGAGAAGAGAAUACAAUCAUAAAGUCUCACGAGAUCGUGGCCUUUGAGUGCGAUUCCAAGCACGUGCUUGUCCACGCUUAUUCGGAUACUUUUCAACUUGAGGGCAGAUGUGGAAACGUGAAGCAUCUCUUACUCGCGAAGCGCACGAUCAUCACCAUGGUGCCGAGGAGGAAGAACGUCGAGACGAAUGUCACGACGACCAUCAUGGUUAUGUAGAGAGCGCGUGACGGCGGCUCGGAGGCGAGGAACACCGAGGCCACGUUCGAGAUGUUCGCCCAGUUGUCCACCUUGUCGAUGGCUCUGACGGAGAAGUAGCGCACGUUGCCGGCCACGAGCUGGCCCACCGUGACUUUGAAUGCCUCGAGGUCGCCCGCCAUUGCCGGUGCGCUCAGGUUUCCUCGGGUGACGUUUUCGUUCGGCACAAGGCUACUCUCGGUGGCCUCCAGCAAGGCAUCCAGGCUGUCGCUCGUUAUUAUCUCGUAGCGCAACGCUGAAAACGGUAGGCGGAGGAUACACCUUGAAUUAGCAUUGAUUGGUCUUGUUUCACACGUGGACUUUCUAAACAGCAAAGCAAUUUCCUAAAGCUUUAUUUAUACUAGAGGAAUCCGAUGAGCUAUAAAGCUCUAUUUUUUACAAAUGUCCAAAAGGGGCAGGUGAGAAUGUUACCGAAGCCGAGAGGAUGUAGACAUGUGGUACAACAUUUGGUACUUUAUCAGUGAAUCAAUGGGCAUGUAGCAAUGAAAUGACUCAUCAAAAAUAAACUCUCUCACACAA